rnacentral:rRNA from 1 species
CAAUAGCGUAUAUUAAAGCUGUUGCGGUUAAAAAGCUCGUAGUUGGAUUUCUGUCAAGGACAACUGGUCCGCCCCUCGGGUGAGCACAUAGUUUGGUCUUGGCAUCUUGUUGGAAACUGUUGCUGCACUUGGUUGUGUGGCGCAGUGUCCAGCACUUUCACUUUGAGGAAAUUGGAGUGUUUCAAGCAGGCACAUGCCUUUGGACACAGUAGCAUGGAAUAAUUAGAUUGGGCUUUUGCUCCAACUUGUCGGUUUCUGGAGCUGAGGUGAGAAUUAAUGGGGAUUGUUGGGGGCAUCCGAAUUUAGCCGUCAGAGGUGAAAUUCUUGGAUCUGCUAAAGACGGACAACUGCGAAAGCGUUUGCCCAGGACGUUUUCAUUGA